rnacentral:rRNA from 1 species
GAACAGGAUUAGAGACCCUGGUAGUCCUAGCCCUAAACGAUGGAUGCUAGAUGUGGGGCCGAGAAGGCUCCGUGUCGCAGUUAACGCGGUAAGCAUCCCGCCUGGGAUUACGGCCGCAAGGCUAAAACUCAAACGAAUUGACGGGGCCCCGCACAAGCAGCGGAGCGUGUGGUUUAAUUCGAUGUUACACGAAGAACCUUACCUGGGUUUGACAUGUAAGUGGUAGUGAAGCGAAAGCGGAGCGACCCUUCGGGGAGCUUACACAGGUGCUGCAUGGCUGUCGUCAGCUCGUGCCGUGAGGUCUCGGGUUAAGUCCCGUAACGAGCGCAACCCUUGCCCUUAGUUACAAGUGUCUAAGGGGACUCCCGUCGGUAACCCGGAGGAAGGUGGGGAUGACGUCAAGUCUGCAUGGCCCUUAUAUCCAGGGCUACACACACGCUACAAUGGUCAGUACAAAGGGCAGCGAAGCCGCGAGGUGAAGCGAAUCCCACCAAAGCUGAUCUAAGUUCGGAUUGCAGGUUGCAACU